AGCAUGUGGAUGAGUACACGCAAGCUCUGUUCAGGGAAAUAACCGUGACUGCAACACUGUCUAUGCUAUCACCACAAACAUUCAAACUACAAACGAAGAAAUCCAUCGGUUGCCACUGCUAUCCUCAUUCCACCAUCUAAAGAAACAUAGAGCUCAACACCUAGAAAUCUCAACUGGCUGCCCUCUGGACUCAGAAAAUGGAUUUAUAGUCUGCUCCAACCAUUCAUCUUUGUUUCCCUUUUUGUUUCCAUAGAAAUGUCCCCCAUUAAAUGCCUGGUCACUCUCACCAUCCAGCAAAAUUCAUCCACUACCAAGUCCCAAUAAAUGGCUCAGUUGGUUUUUAGUGAACAAAAGGUGAUCAAGGAAGAAAAGGAUUUAUAUUGUUCAGGGGAAAGAGGAGUGUCUCUUCUUUCCCUGAAUUAGAGGAGGUUCUCACCUUGAUCAAACCCUACUCAGGCUCCUCUGGGCCUUCUUUUUGACUAGGCCUCAACUUUGGCCUGUUAAGAACUGCAGACUUGUUCAGCACAAGUUCAACAAAAUUCAACACAAAUUAUUUUUGUUGACUCCUCCAACCCCCACAGUAAAAAACCUGAACA
rnacentral:lncRNA from 10 species